GGACUACACGGGUUUCUAAUCCUGUUUGCUCCCCACGCUGUCGCGCAUCAGCGUCAGCUACUGCCCAGCAGGCCGCCUUCGCCACCGGUGUUCUUCCGGAUCUCUACGCAUUCCACCGCUACACCCGGAAUUCCACCUGCCUCUACAGUGCUCAAGCACGAGAGUAUCGACGGCCGAUCCGGAGUUGAGCCCCGGACUUUCACCGUUGACUGCUCGCGCCGCCUACGCGCCCUUUACGCCCAGUGAUUCCGGACAACGCUCGCACCCUCCGUAUUACCGCGGCUGCUGGCAC
rnacentral:rRNA from 1 species